rnacentral:rRNA from 2 species
UACGUAGGGUGCGAGCGUUAAUCGGAAUUACUGGGCGUAAAGCGAGCGCAGACGGUUAUUUAAGCAAGAUGUGAAAGCCCCGGGCUCAACCUGGGAACUGCGUUUUGAACUGGGUAACUAGAGUGUGUCAGAGGGGGGUAGAAUUCCACGUGUAGCAGUGAAAUGCGUAGAGAUGUGGAGGAAUACCGAUGGCGAAGGCAGCCCCCUGGGAUAACACUGACGUUCAUGCUCGAAAGCGUGGGUAGCAAACAGG